GCCGGGGUGGUGGAAAUGGCAGACACGCAUGGUUGAGGGCCAUGUGCCUCACGGCAUGCAGGUUCAAAUCCUGUCCCCGGCA
rnacentral:tRNA from 1 species